UACGUAGGGGGCUAGCGUUAUCCGGAAUUACUGGGCGUAAAGGGUGCGUAGGUGGUUUCUUAGGUCAGAGGUGAAAGGCUACGGCUCAACCGUAGUAAGCCUUUGAAACUGGGAAACUUGAGUGCAGGAAAGGAGAGUGGAAUUCCUAGUGUAGCGGUGAAAUGCGUAGAUAUUAGGAGGAACACCAGUUGCGAAGGCGGCUCUCUGGACUGUAACUGACACUGAGGCACGAAAGCGUGGGGAGCAAACAGG
rnacentral:rRNA from 1 species